rnacentral:rRNA from 1 species
GAUGAACGCUGGCGGCGUGCUUAACACAUGCAAGUCGAACGGGAAUUACUUUAUUGAAACUUCGGUCGAUUUAAUUUAAUUCUAGUGGCGGACGGGUGAGUAACGCGUGGGUAACCUGCCUUAUACAGGGGGAUAACAGUCAGAAAUGACUGCCAAUACCGCAUAAGCGCACAGAGCUGCAUGGCUCAGUGUGAAAAACUCCGGUGGUAUAAGAUGGACCCGCGUUGGAUUAGCUGGUUGGUGAGGUAACGGCCCACCAAGGCGACGAUCCAUGGCCGGCCGGAGAGGGUGAACGGCCACAUUGGGACUGAGACACGGCCCAGACUCCUACGGGAGGCAGCAGUGGGGAAUAUUGCACAAUGGGGGAAACCCUGAUGCAGCGACGCCGCGUGAAGGAAGAAGUAUCUCGGUAUGUAAACUUCUAUCAGCAGGGAAGAGCUUGACGGUACCUGACUAAGAAGCCCCGGCUAACUACGUGCCAGCCGCCGCCGUAAAAC